CCGAAACAGGAGAUAAUCAGUGUCAUCAUGUAUUAUGGUGUGACACACUUGUUAAUUACCGAGAAUUCAGAAAUAAAGGAAAAGGGCGCUACCAGAGCACUAACAGGAAGUAUCCAUAUUUACAGGACAGGCACUGGUCACCAUGGCUUCCAAAGCAGGACUCACAGUUGGGGGCACACUUUCUGCAUCGCUUCUUGUCAGCAUGGUAGUGGCCAGAGGGGCAGCUGGAGACACAGAUCCUGCAUUGUGGAAUGUGAGAGUUUCUUUAAGGUGGAGGAAUAAUGUGUAACAUGGCUCUAAGCACGGAGAUGAACUCCUAUUACCGAAGUAUCAAGAAUGUAAAUCCAGCCGUGGCUUGGUCUUCAAAAAAGCACAUACGGCUGCCUUGUGGGAGAUGAUAACACAUAUCUCCGAAUUCAAAGGAACAAUGCCACUCUGGCAACUGGAAGAGAACUGAUGGCAAUUAAAUAUGCAUAAUGAUAAAAAUGUCGGAUUUACAGAAAAAUGACAAGUUAAGCUGUUGACAGAAAAAAGAAAAAAGUUUAUUAUUCCACGCCUGGACCAGAUUGUCUGGCUUGCCGAUGGUCAUUAAAACCACGGAAUACCUCUGAGAUGCUGUAGCCAGCAAGAAACAUCAUUAUGGCAUCUGGUGCAAGCUUAUCAGUAUCUGGUCUUGGAUUACAAAGCAGUGUGAGAUGCUGGAAUGCCUACAGGAUGAGAUGAAGUCAGGGGAAUGACGUGGGCGUGGUAACGUAGCAUUACGCUACUACUGACCUGACGAUCUAGCAGAUGGAAGAUCAUCUGCUCCCUGUUAAUGACGGGAUACUACUUAGUAGUAGUAUUACUACUAGGAAACCACAGAUAAGGGGGAACUACUGUAUGGAA